GAUAAGCUAAAGCUAAAUGCUGUUAGACACCUUAUUUAUAGUUUAGUUAUUUAGCGACGCACCAUAGAAGACGCAUAUUGAACGGGACUAGUGACGUUUGGGAUAUGUUGGGUUAGAGACCGGAAAAUCAGUUAGCGAUAUAAUCUUCCAGGGUAACGACGUGUUUAGUGACAGAGACUUUUACUGUGGCCUUUUAUUAGAAUAAAUAUAUGUGAAGUUGUUCAUCAGCGAUGACUACAUCUCUUCACUAGUUAAAACCGAUGUGUUUGUUUUGUCUGGAUUGUUGAUCAACUACACGGAAUACACCCGAACAAUUACACCCAAACGCUUGCAGAGUAAUUGGUUGAAAUUCAACAGUCAUCCAUAGUUGACCUCAAGACAGCCUGAACAAGCAACAUCACAGUGGCGACCCCGACGCCCGAAGCCCGGAUUAACCCGAACCUCGAAGCCGAACAUUGAACCGGACAUCGAAGCUGAACGUUUACUCAGGUAAGGGUUGUGCACUCGAAGAUAUAAAGUUUCAUCGGAGUACGGCUGAACACAGCAUCAUCGCAGAGUGACUUUGUUCUAGAUCUACAUGCAGUCGUCGCCUGCUUGAUCGUACGUUCAACGAGCCGUUAACUCAGGGUGACCUUCGUCAGGACAGUAAUCAUCGCAACGUCUGGUCUAUUCAACACUUAUAUUAUAAACGCCUGAUCUUCGUAUGCUGAAUCGACCUACAGCCAGAGGAACCGUUCAUUCAUAACGGGUGAGAGUUUGUCAGUGAACCUGUUGGACAUAUUUUUUUCUUCGCUUGAGAAAACAGUCGUAGGAGCCACAUCGAGUAUCAAGUUUUACCUCGUCAGUUUUGAGGACAGUUUGCCCGCUGUCAGAAGUAUUGUGAGUACUACAAGUUUGGUAACUAACUAAAUCGCUCUGUCGUCUUACCCUUUGAGAGAUUCUUGUGGAGCAGUUUGCUCAUUGAACCGGUUGCUUGCCACUUUUAUAACGGUCACUGUGUUUAACCUUUGGAAGGUUAGUGAAAUCGUAUUUGUCGUUGCUGGACAUUGAUAUAUUUAUUAUACGUUGGUCUAGACCAUAUCUAGACUUGUUGAUAUUGAAGUUGUGGAAACAGAUACAUCCACUUAAUUUUGUUGAAAACCGUUAAUCGUAUAACGGAACGUCGUCGGAGGUGACCUUGGUCUCACCUAGUCUACAUUGGACAUUUUGAUCUAGUGAAGCAACGUACAACAGCAAACUUCGUCGUACUACCAGAGUAGCAGCAGAAGCAGUGAACUAUUUUAGAGAACCGUUAUUUGUCAGCCCAGAUCAAGUCAUCGUCAAGAAAGUCGUUAUUCGUCAGCCCAGAUCAAGUCAUCGUCAAGAAAUUCGUUAUUCGUCAGUCGUCUAGAUCGAGUUGCCGCCAAGAGACUGUUAUUUGUCAGUAGUCGUCUACGCAAAUCAAGUCGUCGCCAGGAGAACCGUUAAACUAUUCGUCAGUAACUGUGUACACAAAGUCGUCGGAACUACACAUACGGUCAUCAACAGUCGUCGAAGAAACUGAAACAUUUUGCUGUGGCAUAUCAAGACAUCUGUGGCAUUACGUGGGAUACUCGACACGGAUUGUAUCCACUGGUAGCACCGGAGAACAGAGUCAGAACUGGAAGAGAGGCAGUGGAAUUUGUUGUGAUCUAUCAUAUUCGGGAAUCCGAACAAAGGGGAUCUUUCUUAUCAAAAGCUAAGUGCCAUUUUCUUAUUAGUAUAUGUUUAGAUUGCCCUUAGAAAUAGAUUUUGUCUAAAUUUGGUACGUUAGCCUGAGUAGUAAAAUAAGGUGGUGCGCCUUAAAACCCGUCGGGGUAGAAGACGUAAUUUAGAUGAAAAGCUAUAUUAUACGUUUAGGAUAGUGAUUGUUUUGUUUGUGUAAACGUCAUAUCCGUUGUUGCUUGGUUACUUCGUGACGUUAUUAAUGUGUGCCAUAUUGUCAUAUCCCAACCCAUAGUGAUAGUCUCAUUUAAUUUUUUCAUUUGUGUAUAUUAUUUUAAAUUAUUUAUUUUUAUUAAUUUAAUUAGAUCUGUAUUUUUUUCACUUAAUGAUAGAAAGUACAGGUAGGAUUCUUUUAUUGUGAAUCAGACUAAAAUACAUUUUAGUUUGAGCGGUUAAAAUCAAAUAUGAUUUUGCCAUGAGAAUAAUGCCGAAACUGGCAUUGUAGUCAAACAUUGUCGUCUGGCUAAUUUUAGAUCCACAAAUUUUUGGAUAUCUCGUUGGUACAUUUAAUCAUCUAGACUCUAAUUUGGAAUAUUAUUAUUAAUUGAAAGAUGAAUGAAGACUACUGCCAGUGGAGAACAUUUGGGAGAAGUGUAUGAUGUGCCCAUGAGAUGCCACAUUGCUAUGAUGAACUGUUACUGUUUACAGAUGAUUCUGGAAUUUUGGAAGUAACAGUGUAAUGUUAUGAACAUUGACAUGAACAUGAUGAACUGUCAAGCCAAGAUGAAGAUGUCAAGAUUUUAUGUUUGUUGUCUUCCCCUUAAAUUGAAAAUGCCCUUGUAAGACUUGACAGUAGUGGAAAAAUAUUGACAUAUUUUUUUUUCAAGGGGGGGAGGAAUCUAUUAGACACCUUAUUUAUAGUUUAGUUAUUUAGCGACGCACCAUAGAAGACGCAUAUUGAACGGGACUAGUGACGUUUGGGAUAUGUUGGGUUAGAGACCGGAAAAUCAGUUAGCGAUAUAAUCUUCCAGGGUAACGACGUGUUUAGUGACAGAGACUUUUACUGUGGCCUUUUAUUAGAAUAAAUAUAUGUGAAGUUGUU